AAUGAGAGAAUGACAAAUCUGAUUUUUUUCCUCCUAAUUUUCAGCUUUUUUCUCCUGAAAAAAAAAUCAAAUCCAACUAAAAACACUAAAAAUUAAGAGAAAAAAAUCUGAUUUGUCAUUCUCCCAUU
rfam:Gossypium raimondii Chr13_contig_30, whole genome shotgun sequence.